rnacentral:tRNA from 1 species
CGGGGUGUAGCGCAGUCUGGUAGCGCACCUGCCUUGGGCGCAGGGGGNNCGGAGGUUCGAAUCCUCUCACCCCGACCA